rnacentral:tRNA from 15 species
GUCCAGGUCGCCAAGUGUUUAAGGCAUCGGCUUGCAACACCGACAAUCGUGGGUUGAAAUCCCACCCUGGACUCCA